GCUUUCGAGCAUCCACAUCAGCA
rnacentral:piRNA from 1 species